GGCUAACUCUCUCUGACGACGAUAGACUAUUCUAGUAAUUAUAAUAUUUGAUUUUAGAUAUUAGAAACGUGGACAAGUAAGGUUAGCAGGAGGAGAUGUAACUGACUUAAGCUGGAGCAAUUUUUCAUUAAUCGCAGAAAAACAAUCAAUAUAUGCUGACAACUGUUUUGAUAUUUUUCAUGGGCAGAGCAAAUGUUAUCACUCAUCGUACCUUCUGAUGUAACUAAAUGGUCAAUACAAUUGUCGUGUCUUUGACUUUGGAGCUGGUUAUCUCUUAUUGCAAGAUUGAAAACGGUAUGAGUUUCCGUCUUAAGUAGAUGGAAGGAGGCAAUACACUUUAUGACAUUGUCAGAAGCGCGUCAAAUGUGUAAUCGACAUUUUGCGAAAAGACGAUUGUUUAUCUUUGAGGCAAGGAAAUUAGGUGAAAACGUAAUUUUGUGGUGAAAUGUCGAAGAUAUUCAAGAAGAAAAAACGACUCUUGACUAAGGUGCGGUCCAAUAUAAAAAUGAAUAUAUAGCAAAAACAUCGAAAAAUAUUUCGAAAUAUUCCGGAAUAAACCUAAACUCGGCUGGCUCCCAAAUGACAAGACAGGCAGAAUUUCGGCAUAAUAUAAAAGCUGCGUUUAUUUGGUUUGUUUGUUUACAAAUAGUGAGUUUAGUUGUCGUUGU